UAAGGAAUAUUGGUCAAUGGACGCAAGUCUGAACCAGCCAUGCCGCGUGGAGGAUGAAGGCCCUCUGGGUUGUAAACUUCUUUUAUUUGGGACGAAACACUUUCUUUCUAGAGAGCUUGACGGUACCAGAUGAAUAAGCACCGGCUAACUCCGUGCCAGCAGCCGCGGUAAUACGGAGGGUGCAAGCGUUAUCCGGAUUCACUGGGUUUAAAGGGUGCGUAGGCGGACAUGUAAGUCCGUGGUGAAAUCUCUAAGCUUAACUUGGAAACUGCCAUGGAUACUAUAUGUCUUGAAUGUUGUGGAGGUUAGCGGAAUAUGUCAUGUAGCGGUGAAAUGCAUAGAUAUGACAUAGAACACCAAUUGCGAAGGCAGCUGGCUACACAAAUAUUGACGCUGAGGCACGAAAGCGUGGGGAUCAAACA
rnacentral:rRNA from 1 species